rnacentral:rRNA from 1 species
UACGUAGGGGGCGAGCGUUGUCCGGAGUUACUGGGCGUAAAGCGCACGCAGGCGGUCUGCUAAGUUUGGAGUGACAGUUGGUGGCUUAACUGCCAAAGUGCUUCGAAAACUGACAGACUUGAGGGCUUCAGAGGGACACGGAAUUCCGGGUGGAGUGGUGAAAUGCGUAGAGAUCCGGAGGAACACCAAAGGCGAAGGCGGUUCUCUGGGCCUGUGACUGACGCUGGAGGAGCGAAAGCGUGGGGAGCGAACAGGA